rnacentral:rRNA from 1 species
GGGAAUUUUCCGCAAUGGGCGAAAGCCUGACGGAGCAAUACCGCGUGAGGGAGGAAGGCUCUUGGGUUGUAAACCUCUUUUCUCAAGGAAGAAGUUCUGACGGUACUUGAGGAAUCAGCAUCGGCUAACUCCGUGCCAGCAGCCGCGGUAAUACGGAGGAUGCAAGCGUUAUCCGGAAAUCGAUUGGGCGUAAAGCGUCCGCAGGUGGUGGCGCUGCGUCUAUUGUCAAAGC